rnacentral:rRNA from 1 species
GAUAAACGCUGGCGGCGCACAUAAGACAUGCAAGUCGAACGGAAGUCGUUGUAAUGAAAUAGAAACGGACAGAGAACUUGUUCGAAGAAAGUGGAAGUAGACUUACAACAAUGGCUUUAGUGGCGGACUGGUGAGUAACGCGUAAGGAACCUGCCUUCUAGAGGGGAAUAACAAUGAGAAAUCAUUGCUAAUACCGCAUAUGCCGAGAGGAUCACAUGGUACAAUCGGGAAAAGAGUAAUCUGCUAGAAGAUGGCCUUGCGUCUGAUUAGAUAGUUGGUGGGGUAACGGCCUACCAAGUCGACGAUCAGUAGCCGGACUGAGAGGUUGAACGGCCACAUUGGGACUGAGAUACGGCCCAGACUCCUACGGGAGGCAGCAGUCGGGAAUAUUGCGCAAUGGAGGAAACUCUGACGCAGUGACGCCGCGUAUAGGAAGAAGGUUUUCGGAUUGUAAACUAUUGUCGUUAGGGAAGAGAAAGGACAGGUACCUAAGGAGGAAGACU